UCAGGGAGGGAGUUCAGGGAGGAGAGGGAUUGGGGAUGAAAACAACAGCUCACUGUCCUUUUGCAAAUGGAAUUUACAGGCCCCAUUUCAUGCAUGAGAACACUGAGGCUUAGAGAGGUGGGGUUACUUGAACAAGGUCACAAGGCUGGUUAAAGUAGGGAAAAUAAAUGAAAUAUUUUACAGUUCAUGGCAUAAGAAUACGCCAGUUUCAGGCAUGUAGAUGAUGAUGAUGGUGGUGGUGGAGAUAAUGAUAAUGAUGAUGACAGGAACUGAAGGGCACAAUUAAGGCCUUAAAGAUCUCCUGGAUGUGGUCACUGUAACCUGUCAAGGCAUGACCUGGAAUCUUUUACAGCAUGGCUUCUCUCCUAGAAUCACAGAGUGGCCAAGAGUGAGGACGUUGACACUACACAGACCUGGGGCAGACCCGGCCCUGCUGCUGAGUGGUUGACUGGCCCCAGGUGAGUUCUGUAACUUCCAUGAGCCUCAGGGUCCUCAUCUGCAAGAUGGGAGGAAAGAGGAGAUCACAGGAAUUUUGUGAGGAAUAAAUAAAAGAAUGUAUAGAAAGCACAGAGCCUGUGUCUGGCAUGCAAGACUUGUUGAGUAAAUGUUAACUUUUCCUGUUUUACUGUGAAGUGGCAACAUGAGGUCCUGCACACAGCCAGGGUUCAGUGAAUAUGGCUAAGCCCAGAGUCCUUAUUGGGAGAAAGUGGCCAGAAACCAGGCUCAAACUCCAGUGCCUCAACUUCCUAAGCGUAUGCAGCUUGAAAGAACAUUACACCCCCUCAAAGGGGGUAAAGUCAGUGUGGGGGAUGACACUUCCCUUCAGGUUUGCUGGGGGAUGAGACGCUGCCUGUAAAGUGCUCAGCACAUAGUAGGUGCACAACAAAGUUAUUGUUCAUGUUGAGAACUAGUCUCAUGCCCAGACUGGGCUCACCUCAGAGGGGUCACACACAUUCCUUUUCUUCUGGGAAAUCAAGGUGAACUGGAUGAAUGGCUCAGCACCUUCUCACAUGCAGACCUGCUGGGAGUGGGAGGUGGACCUACGGGGUUCUGCACCAUCUGGAGCUCAUUUCAUGGACAGAAAGGAAACAGAAAGGCAGGCACGCUCUCCUGAGGGCCUACUAUGUCCAGAUGCUUUGCUUAAACAGAGAAUAUUUAUUUCUCAGUCACAAACUCAGGUGUGCAAAAAUGCAACUUUGUGUCCAGAACGCAGUUAACUCUGGUUUCCCACCCACUCCAUGUGCCUCACCACAGGCUGCUUAAUCCAGUUCUCUUCUGGCUGGAACUCAGGGAUUUAAGCUCUGAUUUGGGUUUGUAAUUCAGGUUUCCUCCUCCCUCUCUGGGUGGUGGAGGUGGGAUGCGGGGGAUGGGGGGCUCUCUUCUGGCUCUGCCCCUUCUCUCCAGCCUGGCUCCCUGGGUCUGAUGACUGCUCUACCAAACGGUGGCCUUGACCUCUGUCUGGUGCUGGCCCUGGAGCCCCGUGAGAUGUCAGCCUGGAUGUAGUGGGAGGUCUGCAGGAGCCCCGCUCAGGAAAUGCGGAUCCCUUGAGGCCCUCUGCAGGUUUUCACAGGCGCUGACACCCAGCGCUUUCAUCCUGUGUCCCAGGGUGGGAACAUCUGCAUCCCCAUAUUUCAGGAGUGCCGUUGCCUGUGCACCCACAAGAGGUCUCAUCUUAUCCUGGCAACAGCCUGUAGGGUUGGGAGCAGCUGCGAGCCAUUUGUGCAGGAGUGCCCGGGGAGAUGGUUACGUGCUUCAUCAUUCAAGCUUGCCCUCCCUCUCCUAGGUAGCACUGCCUUGAAACUACUCCUAGCAAGAAACACAGCUUCUGAUCAUGGGAGAACCUAUUUGCAUCACAGUUCACAAACAUGCUUUUAGACACUCUCCACUUCAGUGGAGGAAACAGAGCCCCAGCGAGGGGAAGAGACUUACCCAAGUCACGUAGCUAAGAGGCAAAAUCAGGAUUCAGACUCAGCCUCCCAGCGCUCACUCCACAGUGCCUUGUUGGCCCAGCCCUAGAAGGCCUCCUGGCUGGAGGCCAUUGCCUGAGCCUGGGGAUGACACAUAUGUCCACUGGAUGUCAUGAUUUCUCUACUGAAGCUAGCUGGACCUUCUUGGCAGUGACAUAGGAUUUUCCCCCUUCCUGGGGCAAAGCAGUCUCAUAUGGGACACUCAGGUGGUGGCUCUCCCUCCUUUUGGCUCAAAGACAGGAGUUUCUCCACCUGGGAAACAGGCGGCCUUCUCUCUCUCUACGUCAUCAAGUCAGUGCAGAGCGCAUGGAGCAGCAACGCCCUGCCCAGCUCUGGGCUGCCCGCUGCGUGCUGAGGAUCCAGAGACAAACCAGCCAUGCUCCUGGCUGAGCGGAAGGUCCUCCCGAGCCUGCACAGUCUGAACUUGCUGAGCUGCCAGAAGCCAGAGCCAAAUGUGUCGCCCAAGUAUGGGGGCUGCGCUCCCUGGUUUCUGAAGCACCACCUCGGCUUCCUUUGGGGAGCACUGUUCAGAUUCACCUGCCUUGCGCCAGAAUCUCUGGGCACCCCCAUGCCUAGCCCAGGGCAGGAGCCAAGUCUGAAAGAAACUCAAGUGCUUGACAAGCUCAUCCGGGAAAGCACAAAGCUGUCGGACCUGAGAAGGACGUCUUAUCAAAGUCCACACUCUCCGAUCUUAGAGGAGACGAAAUAGGAGGGCAAUGGCUUCCGUCAAGGCUGAAACCAAACAUUUUGGCUAUAUCUGAACGACCACUGAAUCACCGAGUCCACCGUAUUUUUCCACUUUCAAGUUGUUUCUGGGCUGCUGUGGAGACACGCCCUUCCUGGGUUUAAUGGCCCUCGUGUCAGGCUGUGGGGAGGAGGCGUGUUUACUUUUUGCAGGGAAAAUAGUGGUUAAUGGUGGACGGAUGGACCUGAUUAGUAAUUGGGUGAUUUAUCCCAUGAACGUUCUUUGGGUUUUCCCGGUGGUUUGCACUUGAAUGUCGGCUGAAUGAAGUAGGAGGAGGGACUAAGAGGAAGAUGGUUUCGAGGAGAAAGGGGUGGGGUUGGCUCAGGGUUGAGGGCUGUUUCAGGGACAGGUGGAGGUUUGCGCAGAUCAAGGGAGAAGGUUGUUCCAUCUGUUGUCCAAGACUCUUCCUCUAUGUUCAUUCACUCACUCGCUUAAUCGCUCACUCACUCAUUCACUUAUUGAAAGCUAUGAAAUUCUGAGCACCUUCUCUGUGCUGGGGAUACAGCACACCUCAUACCUCCUAAGUACCAUGCAGCCAGUGUGAUGAAUAAGCUCUCUUUCUGCCAUGGACUGAGCCUUGUGUCCCCGGCCAAAUUCCCGUGUUGAAAUCUAAUUCCCAAAGUGAUGGUAUUUGGAGGUGGGGUCUUUGGGAGGUAAGUAGGUCUUGAAGGUGGAUCCCUUGUGAAUGGGAUUAGUGCCCUUAAAAAAGAGACUGAAAAGAGCUCCCUGGCUCUCUUUCCACCAUGUGAGGACACAAGAAGAAGUCAGCCUUAACCCAGAAGAGGGCCCUCACCAGAACCUGAUCAUGCUGGCACCGUGAUUUCAGACUUCCAGCCUCCAGAACUGUGAGAAAUACAUUUCUAUUAUUUAUAAGCCACCCGGUUUCUGGUAUUUUGUUACAGCAGCCUGAGCUGGCGAAGAUGCCCUCCUUUAGAGGAGCGUGCAGACUUGAUAAGGGAAACAGAUGGGCCAACAGAUAAUUCCCAGCAGAGGUGUGUUCAAACAUGAGGUAAUAACAGCUAACGCUUACUAGGCAUUUUCCAUGUACCAGACACGGUUCUAAGUGCUUUUCAUGUAUUAAUCAUUUGUUUCUCUCAACAGCCCUGGGGACUAGGUACUAAGCAGAUGGAGGAACAGAGAUGUAAGUAACUUACCCAAGAUCACACAGCCAGCAGAUCUGCACCGAGGCAGUGUGUCCAGCUUUUUAUCGUCAUGGUAUCCAGGUCUACUUUGGAAACGAGGCGGCUAUGCCUCAAAAGGGAAGGGUUCCCAGAGAGAGUGAUGUUGGACGUGGGCCUUGAGGAGGAAGUAGAGAAGUUUUAGAGGUAGAGGAGGCCACAGCAAGAUGCCCCAACAGCUGAAAGUGCCUGUCACGUGCCAAGAGUGGCAAGGGGUGGAGGUUUCCUGAGAGGGGAAGUGGAGGAGAGGCCGGCAGGGCCAGACUCUGAUCCUUUCUUGAAGGAGUGGCUUGGGUAGUCCGAUUUUAAAUGAAGAAAGAGCUCUCAGCGGGGUGCAGUGGCUCACGCCUGUAAUUUCAGCACUUUGGGAGGCCAAGGCUGGUGGAUCACCUGAGGUCAGGAGUUCAAGACUAGCCUGGCCAACAUGGCGAAACCCCGUCUCUACAAAAAUACAAGAAUUAGCCAGGCAUGAUUGUGGGUGCCCGUAAUGCCAGCUACUCGGGAGGCUAAGGAGGGAGAAUCGCUUGAUCCCAGGAGGCAGAGGUUGCAGAGAGCCGAGAUGGCACCACUGCACUCCAGCCUGGGUGACAGAGUGAGAUUCCAUCUCUAAAACAACAACAAAGAAAACGAAAACAAAACAAAAAAAAGAAGGAAAAAAAAAGGAAGAGCUCCCAGGCAGCUCAGUAGAGAAUGGCUUGAGAGGUGGGGGAAGAUUAGAGGCAGGGGAAAGUGGACACCUGCUGUUUCAGCCCCCUAGCACCUGCUCUUCCCCAGGAGACAACCUCCUUUGUUCUGAGGCCUGGUGUUUUCACUGAUGCUGACUGCUUGAGGGGUGGCACAUGACUCAGGUCUGGCCAAUCAGCCUCUUCCAUCCCCCUGGCUGCAGGGACUGGCUCAGGAGGGUGCAUGUGACCAGAGGCCGACCGAUGAGACUCAGUUCUGAGAUUUUUGUUAGACUUGUUGCAGAAAAGAGACUGUCUCCUGAGGUUGCUGAGCUGGGUAUCUCCACCAGGAGCUGCAGGGGCCAUGCUGUCACCAUGUGAAGACAGGUUGCUUGACAACAAAGUUGCAUUAGUUUCCUUGGGCAGCCAUAGCAAAGUAUCACAGACUGGGGAGCUUAAACAACAGAAAUUUAUUUCCCCACAAUUCUGGAGGCUAAGUCCAAGAUCAAAGUGUCAGCAGGGUUGAUUUCUUCUGAGGCUUCUCUUCGGCUUGUAGAUGGGUGGCUGUCUUCUUCUGGUGUCUUUACAUGGUCUUCCCUCUGUAUGUGUGUGUGUCUGUGUCCCAAUCUCCUCCUUUUCUUCUUCUCCUUUUUUUUUUUUUUUCUUUUGGGAUGGAGUCUCUCACUCUGUCCCCAGGCUGGAGUGCAGUGACCUGAUCUCGGCUCACUGCAACCUUCACCUCCUGGUUCAAGUGAUUCUCCUGCCUCAGCCCCCCGAGUAGCUGGGACUACAGGCACAAGCCACCAUGCCCAGCUAAUUUUUGUAUUUUUAGUAGGGACUGGCUUUCACCUUAUUGGCCAGGCUGGUCUGGAAC